UUUUCUCUCAUUUUUCCCCCAUUUUCUCCCCAUUUCUCCCCAUUUUUCCCCAAUUUCCCCAUUUUUCACCCCAUUUUCCCCCUCACUCACCCCAUGGCGCCGCCGCAGUUGCCGAAGGCGCCGGUUGCCAUUUCCCCAUUUUUCCCCCAUUUUGUUCCCAUUUUUCCCCCAUUUUUUCUCAUUUUCUCCCCAUUUUUUCCCAUUUUCUCUCAUUUUCUCCCCAUUUUUUCCCAAUUUCCCCGUUUCUCACCCCAUUUUCCCCCUCACUCACCCCAUGGCGCCGCCGCGGGCGCCGAAGGCGCCAGUUGCCAUUUCCCCAUUUUGUUCCCAUUUUUCCGCCAUUUUCUCUCAUUCUUUCCCCAUUCUUUCCCCAUUUUCUCUCAUUUUUUCCCCAUUUUCCCCCAUUUCUCCCCAAUUUACCCGUUUCUCACCCCAUUUUCCCCCUCACUCACCCCAUGGCGCCGCCGCGGGUGCCAAAGGCACCGGUUGCCAUUUCCCCAUUUUCUCUCAUUCUUUCCCCAUUUUUUCCCAUUUUCUCUCAUUUUUUCCCCAUUUUUUCCCGUUUUCCCCAUUUUUCACCCCAUUUUCCCCCUCACUCACCCCAUGUUGCCUCCGCGGGUGCCGCGGGUGCCGAAGGCGCCGGUUGCCAUUUCCCCAUUUUCCCCCAUUUUGUUCCCAUUUUUCCGCCAUUUUCUCCCUUUUUUCCCCAUUUUGUUCCCAUUUUUCCCCAUUUUCCCCCAUUUUCUCCCCAUUUUUUCCCGUUUUCCCCGUUUCUCACCCCAUUUUCCCCCUCACUCACCCCAUGUUGCCGCCGCGGGUGCCGCGGGCGCCGCGGGCGCCGCGCUCGAAGCCGCCGCGGGUGCCGAAGGCGCCGCGCCCGCGGCUGCGCUCGCUCGGCGCCGCGGCUCCGUAGCCGCCGCCGGGCUCCUGGUACCCGCCCGAGCUCAGCGAGCCGCCCUCCUGCCCGUAGCUGUUGGCUGGAAAAACGGGAAAAAACAUCGGGAUUACGGGAAUUCCAGGAAAAAUCGG
rnacentral:lncRNA from 1 species